rnacentral:rRNA from 1 species
AUACGAAGGGUGCAAGCGUUACUCGGAAUUACUGGGCGUAAAGCGUGCGUAGGUGGUUGUUUAAGUCUGUCGUGAAAGCCCUGGGCUUAACCUGGGAAUGGCGAUGGAAACUGGGCGACUAGAGUGUGGCAGAGGGUAGUGGAAUUCCUGGUGUAGCAGUGAAAUGCGUAGAGAUCAGGAGGAACAUCCGUGGCGAAGGCGACCGCCUGGGCCAACACUGACACUGAGGCACGAAAGCGUGGGGAGCAAACAGGAUUAGAUACCCUGGUAGUCCACGCCCUAAACGAUGCGAACUGGAUGUUGGGUGCAAUUUGGCACGCAGUAUCGAAGCUAACGCGUUAAGUUCGCCGCCUGGGGAGUACGGUCGCAAGACUGAAACUCAAAUGAAUUGACGGGG